rnacentral:rRNA from 1 species
GACGAACGCUGGCGGCGCGCUUAACACAUGCAAGUCGAGCGAGAACCAGGCCUUCGGGCCUGGGGAAAGCGGCGAACGGGUGAGUAACACGUGGGUAACCCACCCUUGGUACCGGGAUAGCCCGGGGAAACCCGGAUUAAUACCGGAUGGCCCAGCAGCUCUUCGGGGCGGUUGGAAAAGGUAGCUUCGGCCUCCGACCAAGGACGGGCCCGCGGCGGAUUAGCUUGUUGGCGGGGUAACGGCCCACCAAGGCGACGAUCCGUAGCUGGCUGAGAGACGAUCAGCCACACUGGGACUGAGACACGGCCCAGACUCCUACGGGAGGCAGCAGUGGGGAAUCUUGCGCAAUGGCGAAAGCCUGACGCAGCGACGCCGCGUGGGGGAANAAGGCUUUCGGGUUGUAAACCCCUUUCCAGGAAGGACGAAGC